rnacentral:rRNA from 1 species
AAAUUUGGACAAUGGGGGAAACGCUGAACCAGCCAUCCCGCGUGUAUGAUGAAGGCCCUCGGGUUGUAAAGUCCUUUUGUCUGAGAGGAAAAGGUAUCCCUGAAUACGGGAUACUGGUGACGGUAUCUGCAAAAUACGCACCGCCUAACUACGUGCCAGCAGCCGCGGUAAUACGUAGGAUGCAAGCGUUAAUCGGAAUUACUGGGCGUAAAGCGCGUGUAGGCGGUUCAAAAAGAAAGAUGUGAAAUCCCAGGGCUCAACCUUGGAACUGCAAUUGUAACUGCCGAGCUAGGGUAUGUCAGAGGGAGGUAGAAUUCCACGUGUAGCAGUGAAAUGCGUAGAUAUGUGGAAGAAUACCGAUGGCGAAGGCGGCCCCCUGGGAUAAUACUGACGCUCAGACACGAAAGCGUGGGGAGCAAACAGG